rnacentral:snoRNA from 1 species
UUGCAGGAUAAGUUACAAUGCAGCUUUGUUCAGUGCUGCUUUGUCGUUCCCCCUGCAAAAAAUAACCUGUUUCCAGCUAUCCCUGUCUGUCGACGUCCCGGACAACCAGGGACGCAAGGUCUCAGACAC